AUUGAACGCUGGCGGCAUGCCUUACACAUGCAAGUCGAACGGUAACAGGGAGCUUGCUCCGCUGACGAGUGGCGAACGGGUGAGUAAUGUAUCGGAACGUACCAUUCAGUGGGGGAUAACGUAGCGAAAGUUACGCUAAUACCGCAUAUUCUGUGAGCAGGAAAGCAGGGGAUCGCAAGACCUUGCGCUGAUUGAGCGGCCGAUAUCAGAUUAGCUAGUUGGUGAGGUAAAGGCUCACCAAGGCGACGAUCUGUAGCGGGUCUGAGAGGAUGAUCAGCCACACUGGAACUGAGACACGGUCCAGACUCCUACGGGAGGCAGCAGUAGGGAAUAUUGGACAAUGGGCGCAAGCCUGAUCCAGCCAUGCCGCGUGAGUGAAGAAGGCCCUCGGGUUGUAAAGCUCUUCGGCCGGGAAGAAAUCGUAUGGGCUAAUACCCUGUGCGGAUGACGGUACCGGCAUAAGAAGCACCGGCUAAC
rnacentral:rRNA from 1 species